rnacentral:misc_RNA from 1 species
GAUGAAGAACGCAGCGAAAUGCGAUACGUAAUGUGAAUUGCAGAAUUCAGUGAAUCAUCGAAUCUUUGAACGCAUAUUGCGCUCUCUGGUAUUCCGGAGAGCAUGCUUGUUUGAGUAUCAGUAAACACCUCAACUUCCAUAUCUUUUUUUGAAAUGGGAGUUGGACUUGAGUGAUCCCAACGCUUUUCCUCACCGAAAAGUGGCGGGUUACUUGAAAUGCAGGUGCAGCUGGACUUUUCUCUGAGCUAUAAGCAUAUCUAUUUAGUCUGCCUAAAAAACAGAUUAUUACCUUUGCUGCAGCUAACAUAAAGGAGAUUAGUUCUUGUGCUGACUGAUGCAGGAUUCACAAAGACAGCUUCGGCCGACUUUGUAAACUCGAUCUCAAAACAAGUAAGACUACCCGCUGAACUUAAGCAUAUCAAUAAGCGGAGGA